GGGGCCGACCCGGUUUCGACGUGGGUGCGGAUCCGUAGUAGGGCAUGCCGAGCACCAGUUCGCUCGUAAAACCACUGGAAACAAAGUAACUGCAAACGACUCUACGUUCGCACUCGCCGCUUAAAACCGGAUGAGCUUCUCGACGGUUCGCCAAUGGGCCGUGCCUAGUGCCGCAAGGUGCGAAGCUGAGAAGACACUUACAUUGGCUGGUCGUGCAUCGGGCCACUCGGCGCAGGACAAGAUCUAGUGGCUGGCGUGAAAGGCAGCGUGUCGCUGCGCGGCCUGAACGCGAGAUUCAAAUCAGACGACUAAGCAUGUAGAACUGCGCGGUGAUGGCUUGCGGACGGGGGUUCAAUUCCCCCCGGCUCCACCA
rnacentral:tmRNA from 1 species